rnacentral:rRNA from 1 species
CCAAUGCUUCUAAUUUCAUAGCAAGCUCGCUUGCUAUGAAAUAGGCAACCAGUAAUAUAAGCAAGUGUGUGCUAUUUAUAGCGCUAGCCUACAAACCUAUAAUUAUAUUAACUCUAAGAGAAAUUUAAUAAUAAACGAAGUGAAUUGAAAUAUCUUAGUAACUUUAGGAAAAGAAAUCAAAAGAGAUUCUAUGAUUAGCGUGAGCUAAAAUAGACUAGCCUAAAAAGUCAAAUGGUGGAUAAACUGUUUAAAUUAAAUGGGGAACCUUCCUCAAAGGCUAAAUAUAAUGUAUAAGCGAUAGUGGAAAGUACCGUGAGGGAACCAAAACAAAAACAGUGAUUUUAUAAGCAGUUCGGAAAAAUAAAAAAAAGUUAGAACGUACCUUUUGCAUAAUGGGUCACCAAGUUAACAUUAGAUGCGAGUAGGAGGCUUUGCCCAUAUAUACGUAGUUAAACCGAGCGUUAAAAUAACGGUAAGUAUCUAAAGUUAGACCCGAAGCCUGGUGAUUUUACCAUAAUCAGGAUUAUAAAAGUCCGAACGGAAUAUUGUAGCAUAAAUAUCCGAAGAAUUAUGGUAGGUGUAGUGAAAGACAAUACUGACCAGGAUAGCUGGUUUUCUGCGAAACCUAUAACAGUAGGCAAUUUAAGUAUAAUAUCUUAGCAGGUACAGAAUUUAAUCUCAGACAAGACAUAAGGCUUAGCUUGCUAGCAAGUAAAGCUCAUGUUUUAUUUUGUACAAAUUGGGGGAUCAUGAAGAUUUUAUCAGUGAGUAUGUAGACUCGGAAUGGCAAAGAUAUAUCUUAAAUCAUCAGACAUAGAAUGAUAAGGUUGUAUGUCAAAAGGGAAACAGCCCAGAACAAGAGUUAAGGUUCCUAAAUUAUUAGUUGAGUGAAAUUAAGAAGGUUUUUAUUAAAGUCGACAAGGAGAUAGGCUUAGAAGCAGCCAUAAUUUUAUGACCUCGUAACAGAGCGCUUGUUAAGUUUUAAAAGCAUCGAAAAUUUAUCGGAUCUAAACAAUAUACCGAAACCUUGUCCAUAUUAUUUUAUAAUUAAAGCUUAAUUAUAAUUAAAUGGGGUAGCAGAACGUUGAGCUAAAUUAAGAUUUUUAUUUUUUAAAUGAAAUUAUAAUAAUUUAACUCAAGUGAUAAUGGUGACAUGAGUAACUAAAAGAAAAAAUAAAAUUUUUCCGCCUAAAGCUUAUGGAUGUAAUUAAGUAACGGCCUCUAAGUUUAUAUUAUCUAAAGAUUUAAACGAUGAGAUAAUCUUUUGUACUAAGGACGACAUUUUAAGUGAAAAAUGUACUGGAAAAAUAGUACUAAAUUAAUGGGUAUAGCUAAUUAGUUAGCUAUAGCUAUAAAUGAAAAGUAACCGUACCUAGAAUCUGAAACAAGUAAGCUAGUAGAGAAUACGAAGGCGUAAAUGAGCUAACAAUCAUAAAGGAACUCGGCAAAUUGACUACCGUAACUUCGGGAUAAGGAGAGCUCAUUAUUCUUGAUUAAUAUCAGGUAAAGAGGAAGAAGCAUGAAAUAGUGUUGUACGACUGUUUAAUUAAAACACAGCACUUUGCUGAAAGAUUAAAAAUCUAAGUAUAGAGUGUGAUGUCUGCCCGGUGCCGGCUGGUUAACAGAUAUAAUUAAAUAUACUAAUAUUUGAUGUAGACGGAAACCCCGGUUAAAGGCGGCCUUAACGUGAGGGUCCUAAGGUAGCGAAAUGCCUUGGCCGUUAAAUGCGGUCUUGCAUGAAUGAUGUAACGAUACAACAGCUGUCUCUAUGAUUGACUCAGUGAAAUUGGAAUAGCUGUGCAGAUACAGUUUACCUCUAGUUAGACGAGAAGACCCUAUGCAGCUUUACUGUCACUAAUUAUAGAGUAUGAUAAACAAUUUUCAGAUUAUAAGGUAAUUGACGGCUAGCUUGUUCAGCAAGCUAGCUCUAUGACAAUGAGAAUCCUUUAUUUUUUUUUCAUAUGAAUGAAUUGGUUUAGGAUUAUGAGUAGGUAGCGGCUUCUGCUACUUGGCGUAAGCAUUGCUUGCGUCAGGUGUCUGAAGUAUGCAUUCCAGCUCAUGCAUAGUAAAUCAACCUAAUUCAGCUUAUUUUCCUUUCUGCCAUAAGCGCAUAAUGAUAGAUUUAACUUAAAUUUUGAUUUAUGCCAGCUGCAGAAAUAGAUAAGUACCCUUGGCUAAGGAACUAUCGCUAGGGGACAGUUUAUGUGGGGCACAGACCCUGUAAAGAGUAAACAGGAGUGUCUAAUAAUUUAUAAUUAUUUUGUUUGCGAUUUAAGAUAGUGAAACUAUUUUUAAUCAUAUAAAAUUAUUUAUAUGUACAUUCGUUGUAUAUAUAUUUAAAAAAAGGUAGGAUUUUCACUAUAUAGAAAUUAGAGAUAAUAAAAAUAUUAAGAAUAUACGUUUCAGGCUGGGAGGGGGAAGCUCCUCCCUUUGAAAGGUAGCACUAAUAUUUUUUAGCUAUUAAGACAGGCUAUCAAGCUAGGCUCUAAUAGUUAUGUAUUAAUUAUCUAAAAAGCUCAACGGCUAAAUCUUGCCUUACUGUUUGAUUAUCAACAAAUCU